AAUACUCCUCUCUCUACUUUUCUCUCUAUUGUUCUUGUUCUUAUAUUAUUUCAUAACACUUUCCUUCUUGUUGGUAGAAUUCAUUUUCAUACGAUUAUGUUUGGAACUCAUUUCGGAGGACAGGACGAGUGCUGACUCCGGAGAUAUGCGGUAUUCACCCAUAACUGCGCCCGAUUAUCACGCCUCACCACACCAUAACUAACGAUGAAGCACAUAAUUCCAAUAAUGGUUACCCAUUAUAUUUGGAGGAUGGUUUUCCUAUCCUCAUACUUGUAAAUCUCUUAAUUCCUUUUUACGCAUAAUCACCCAAAAUAUACAAUUACUAUACAAAGCUUCACUCAACUUUUGUUCAACCUUGCAGAUUACUCAAUAAGAGAUCAUAGCUAUCCUCGCUUUUAUUUUAAUUCCAAUUCUGUUCAUGUUGUUAUUAUCAUCAUCUUUUUAUUAUUUCAUAUUAACAAUUAUCAACUUACGGCUUGAGGCCUACUUUACAAAUUUAACUUGUUUAGCCUUGUAAUCGAUUUUAGAAUAAAUAGUUCGGCGUUUACCGUGGACCCAAAC
rnacentral:lncRNA from 1 species